UUAAUGACUGUUGAGUGUGUGUACGUGCAUGUGUGUUUAAAUCUCUCUUACACCACUGGGAGAUCACAAAUGUAUUUCUGCAAGGAUGUGACUCUAGGAAACCCAAUUCAAUAUGAGCAAAAUAUAAAUAUUCUUUCUCUUUCAUCUAACUCUGACACUAUGGGCUAAUUUUGUGACUGUCCUAUGUAUUGUAGGAUAUUUGGCAGCAUCCCUGACCCUCUACCCGUAGAUGCCAGUAGCUGUGACAACCAAAAAUGUUUCUAAACAUUGCCUUGGGGGAGGGGCACAAUCACCCUCUGUUGAGAACCAUUGGCUUCACCAUUUAAAAAAAUUCAGUCGUCUAAUAUUUAUUGAUCACAUAGUAUGCAUUAUGCACCUAGGUGUUAGAAAAAUCAUUGUGGAUAAAACCAGACAUAGACCCUGGUUUCAUGGUGGCCCUCAGCCUCAUCAGCGAGGGAAAAAGUCAUCAGAAAUCUGCACAAAUCAGUAAACAAUAACUUCCCAACAUGGUGCAGGAUAAUUACAUCUUGACAGGGUGCAGGAUGAGGUUGGAGAGGCAGAGACCAGACUAGGCUCAUGUGCAUUGGGAAGCUACAGAAAAUUGUUUAAGAGGGUAAUGUGAUGAGAUUAGAGGUUGCUGGGUAGAAGGUGGAUUGAUGGGGAUGUAGAAUGAAUAAAGGGAGAGUCUAGUGCCAAUUGCAGUGGUUCAGGAGAGAGGCAUAUUUGAUUGUGGCUCAGGCCUGAGCCAGAAGGGGUGUUGAUUAGGAUGUAGAGAUGUGGGCAACAGACACAGACUUGGUGAUGGAUGGACUGGUUUUGGUUGAUGAGAGCAGAAGGUGUACAAAGUGUGGCUUUUGUUCCUGUGUAAUAGAGCUAGCUGGAUGCUGGUGCCACACACCGGCUUAAAGGCUAGUGGUCAUCAUGCAUUUUGGUUGAAAACAUUUUAGGUUUGAGGUGCCUUUGAUAUUUCCAAAUAGAGAUAUUGCAUGAUUGCUGGGUACAUGGGCGUGGAGCUCCAGGUAGUGUGAGUUAGAGAUCACCACCAUCUCCAACUUUCCCAGUAAUGGAUUCAAUAUCCAACCUUCUCUUCUUCCUCCUUCAUACCUUAUAUUCAGUCUUUUGGAAAAACAUUUCAAAAGAAUUCCCUCUUUCUGUUCCCCCUUCUCUUUCCACUGCUAUCAUUCUCGUUCAAGAACCAAGCACCUUCCAUGCAGCAGGCUCUUAGCAAAAGUGGGUUGAAUAGAAAAGAGAACUCAUUCAAGUUCUACUCUUGGCAUUUCUGAUGUCUAUAGGAGGGUUCUGUUGGAGACCUUGAUUUGCUCAAAGAAGGAGGAGCUCCAGGAAACAGGCUGCAGCCUUGUCAUUUUGUAUCUUGGGACUUUCCUGUGCACCCCUGCCUUGUUCCUCCUACAAGCAAGCUCCGUGAAAGCACACAUUUAAAAAUUAUGUUUGCUGCUAUAUGUUCCUGAGGCCUUGAACAUUCCUGCCACAGAGCAGGAGCCUGAUAAGGAUGUGUAGGAUAUUUGUUGAAUAAAUAAAAAGUCCUUCUAUUUUUC